rnacentral:rRNA from 1 species
CCGUAGCUAACGCGUGAAGUGAGCCGCCUGGGGAGUACGGCCGCAAGGUUAANACUCAAAGGAAUUGACGGGGACCCGCACAAGCGGUGGAUGAUGUGGAUUAAUUCGAUGCAACGCGAACAACCUUACCUACCCUUGACAUGUCCGAGAGCCUGCUGAAAGGUGGGUGUGCCUGAAAGGGAAUCGGAACACAGGUGCUGCAUGGCUGUCGUCAGCUCGUGUCGUGAGAUGUUGGGUUAAGUCCCGCAACGAGCGCAACCCUUGUCCCUAGUUGCUACGCAAGGGCACUCUAGGGAGACUGCCGGUGACAAACCGGAGGAAGGUGGGG